UACGUAGGUAGCGAGCGUUGUUCGGAAUUACUGGGCGUAAAGAGUGUGUAGGCGGUGCUCUAAGUUCGGUGUGAAAUCUCCUGCUCAACUGGGAGGGUGCGCCGGAAACUGGAGUGCUUGAGCGUGGGAGAGGAAAGCGGAAUUCCUGGUGUAGCGGUGAAAUGCGUAGAUAUCAGGAGGAACACCUGUGGUGUAGACGGCUUUCUGGACCAUAGCUGACACUGAGACACGAAAGCGUGGGUAGCAAACAGG
rnacentral:rRNA from 1 species